AGGCAUAAUGUCCACUGCCUGGGAUUUGUAUGAUUCUUACAAUGCUAUGGAACUUGUAUCUUUAUCAGUAAAACAAUCUGUGGUUGAGUCAAGUAGUAAAGCAAAUGUACUUCCUAAAGAUCAGGACCAAAGAUUGCCAGGGAGCACUACAGAAAAAAGUUUGCUUGUAGAAGCUAUCAAAAACUGCUCAGAACAAUCCAAUCUUAGACUGGAAAUUACACUGGGACUUUAUAUUAGAUCGAUCUUUUCCACACCAUUAAGGCCAUUGACCUACAAAAAUGUGCG
rnacentral:lncRNA from 1 species